rnacentral:rRNA from 1 species
CCUACGGGGGGCAGCAGUAGGGAAUCUUCCACAAUGGACGAAAGUCUGAUGGAGCAACGCCGCGUGUGUGAUGAAGGGUUUCGGCUCGUAAAACACUGUUGUAAGAGGAGAAUGACAUUGAGAGUAACUGUUCAGUGUGUGACGGUAUCUUACCAGAAAGGAACGGCUAAAUACGUGCCAGCAGCCGCGGUAAUACGUAUGUUCCAAGCGUUAUCCGGAUUUAUUGGGCGUAAAGCGAGCGCAGACGGUGAUUUAAUCCCGUAGUGAAAGCCAACAGCUUAACUGUGGAGGUGCGUUGGAAACUGGAUAACUGGAGUGCAGUAGAGGAGAGUGGAACUCCAGGUGUAGCGGUGAAAUGCGUAGAUAUAGGGAAGACCACCAGUGGCGAAGGCGGCUCUCUGGACUGUAACUGACGUUGAGGCUCGAAGGUGUGGGUAGCAAACAGGAUUAGAUACCCCAGUAGUC